AUGGAUCCCGCCAGCUCACGCAGGUCGGGUCACUCCAUGGGAGCAGACGCCUUACCUACUCUCUCAGUUCCUGGCAGCCCUGACCUCGUGCAUUCCCAGCAGGGGCCCAGAAGAAGCCCAGCAAGAGCGGCACCACCCAAACAUCCACUCCCAUGUGUAUUACGCUCUGCCUUCCAGAGAACUCCAUCCCAGGAGUGGACCUGUGUGACGAUGAGCCACCAAGAAAGGCAGGCAGGGGAACAGCCUGGUACUUAUAAACGUUUGCCUGUGGACCACAGCUCUAUCCUGAAAAAUAUAUCCUAUGUACUUACUGAUGAGUAG
rnacentral:lncRNA from 12 species